CACGGGGGGGAGCAAACGUUGUUCGGAAUUACUGGGCGUAAAGGGCUCGUAGGCGGCCAACUAAGUCCGACGUGAAAUCCCCAGGCUUAACCUGGGAACUGCGUCGGAUACUGGUUGGCUUGAAUUCGGGAGAGGGAUGCAGAAUUCCAGGUGUAGCGGUGAAAUGCGCAGAUAUCAGGAGGAACACCGGUGGCGAAGGCGGGUCUCUGGGCCGAUACUGACGCUGGAGGAGCGAAAGCGUGGGGAGCGAACAGG
rnacentral:rRNA from 1 species